UACGUAGGUGGCAAGCGUUGUCCGGAUUUACUGGGCGUAAAGAGCGCGCAGGCGGUCGUUCAAGUCGCGUGUGAAAGCCCCCGGCUCAACUGGGGAGGGUCACGCGAUACUGAUCGACUCGAAGGCAGGAGAGGGUAGUGGAAUUCCCGGUGUAGUGGUGAAAUGGCGUAGAUAUCGGGAGGAACACCAGUGGCGAAGGCGGCUUCCUGGUCCAGCACCGACGUUCAGGCACGAAAGCGUGG
rnacentral:rRNA from 1 species